GACGAACGCUGGCGGCGUGCUUAACACAUGCAAGUCGAACGGAGAAUUUAUUUCGGUAAAUUCUUAGUGGCGAACGGGUGAGUAACGCGUGGGCAACCUGCCCUUCAGAUGGGGACAACAUCCCGAAAGGGGUGCUAAUACCGAAUACGAUCACGCUGCCGCAUGGCGGUGUGAUGAAAGAUGGCCUCUAUAUAUAAGCUAUCGCUGAAGGGUGGGCCUGCGUCUGAUUAGCUAGUUGGUGGGGUAACGGCCUACCAAGGCGAUGAUCAGUAGCCGGUCUGAGAGGAUGAACGGCCACAUUGGGACUGAGACACGGCCCAAAGUCCUACGGGAGGCAGCAGUGGGGAAUAUUCCGCAAUGGACGAAAGUCUGACGGAGCAACGCCGCGCGAGUGAUGAAGGUUUUCGGACUGUAAAACUCUGUUGUUUGGGACGAAAGUGCCUGUUGCAAACAGUUGCAGGUAUUGACGGUACUGAACGAGGAAGCCACGGCUAACUACGUGCCAGCCGCCGCCGUAACAC
rnacentral:rRNA from 1 species